rnacentral:lncRNA from 1 species
CACGAUGGCAGCUUUGACUCUGGGGAGCUGCGAAACAUCUUCACAAAGCAUCAUUAACCUCCGCGCAAUUGGGCUUUAAGAGCUGCAAGAUAUUAAUUCCAAGCAAGACAUCUAAAUUGUUACUCUGGAAACUUGCUCAUGCCCCCUUCAUGGGUCAGACACUGAAACGCCAGGUUCCAAGUAUCCUUACCAUCUCGCCCUCGCCGUCCCUAGAAGCAGGAUUGAAGUCCCGUCUCCACACGGCCACGGCAGGAGGGGCAGCCAGGGCUCAGAUGAGUGGCUCCGGAUUGGACACACACAGAGCUUGCUUUGCCAUGGUUAUCUUCUAUUUCAAAAUGAGGAAUACAGGGCACAUCUAACGAUAAGACUCUCGGAUCUCCUGCUGAUGGGUUUUAGUGAUACUUGGAAAGACGCUUACUGCUAUGCUCAAGUCUCCAGGAAAAUGAUUCCCAACUCUGAGAGGUACAGAUUCCUGAA